GAGAAAAGUUAUGUUCCAACUUGUUGAAAUUAAAAACAUUUUAGUAAAUAAAACUGCACAGUUCUCUAAUGAUCUAGAAAGUUAUAAACAACUUAAAAGUUCAGAUAAACUUAAUGUUUUGAAAAGAAAAAUUGCAUAUGGAGAUAUCCAAUACAUCACUUUUGUAAAACAGUUAUCAUUAUUUGGUGGUAAAAAUUCAGUUGAUACAAUUAAAAAUAUUUUGCUCUUACUGACAACAGACACUAUUUUCAGAAUUUAGCAUGAAUGGUCUAAAGAAGAAAAAAAAGUUUAAAAAGUUGACAAGUUAAUGUAUAACUAUCACUGAUGCUGCCUCAAAGUCAAAUAAAAGCUUAACCAAAAUGGAUUUCAUGCAACUUAUUGGAAGAUUAAUUAGACAUUCUUCCUACCAAUUCAAGAGAAAAUCCACCAAUAUCAAUAUUGAUCAAUGAUGACUUAAUUAACUUGAGUCAACUUGUGUUUUUUAUUUAUUUUGCAUUUUUCAGUAAUUUUCUUUUU
rnacentral:lncRNA from 1 species